rnacentral:rRNA from 1 species
GUAUGGUGCAAGCGUUAUCCGGAUUUACUGGGUGUAAAGGGAGCGCAGGCGGUACGGCAAGUCUGAUGUGAAAGCCCGGGGCUCAACCCCGGUACUGCAUUGGAAACUACCGGACUGGAGUGUCGGAGGGGUAAGUGGAAUUCCUAGUGUAGCGGUGAAAUGCGUAGAUAUUAGGAGGAACACCAGUGGCGAAGGCGGCUUACUGGACGAUCACUGACGCUGAGGCUCGAAAGCGUGGGGAGCAAAC